GCUUGCGUGGCCAAGUGGUAAGGCGUCCCACUCGUAAUGGGAAGAUCAGCGGUUCAAUUCCGCUCGUGAGCA
rnacentral:tRNA from 1 species